ACUAAUUUGGCAGAAAAAAUUGUAUCAAAUUUAGAAUUUGAAAAUGGUAUUACCAAUUAGUG
rnacentral:tRNA from 1 species